rnacentral:rRNA from 1 species
AUUGAACGCUGGUGGCAGGCCUAACACAUGCAAGUCGAGCGGCAGCGGGACCUUCGGGUUGCCGGCGAGCGGCGGACGGGUGAGUAAUGUCUGGGAAACUGCCUGAUGGAGGGGGAUAACUACUGGAAACGGUAGCUAAUACCGCAUAACGUCGCAAGACCAAAGAGGGGGACCUUCGGGCCUCUUGCCAUCAGAUGUGCCCAGAUGGGAUUAGCUAGUAGGUGGGGUAACGGCUCACCUAGGCGACGAUCCCUAGCUGGUCUGAGAGGAUGACCAGCCAAACUGGAACUGAGACACGGUCCAGACUCCUACGGGAGGCAGCAGUGGGGAAUAUUGCACAAUGGGCGCAAGCCUGAUGCAGCCAUGCCGCGUGUAUGAAGAAGGCCUUCGGGUUGUAAAGUACUUUCAGCGGGGAGGAAGGUGUUGAGGUUAAUAACCUCAGCAAUUGACGUUACCCGCAGAAGAAGCACCGGCUAACUCCGUGCCAGCCGCCGCCGUAAAAC